GCCUUCUUGGCGUAGUGGUAGCGCGUCUCACUUGUAUGCCGCUUCAUAAAGCGUAUGGUCAUGAGAAGGUCACUCGUUCAAUCCGGGUAGGAGGCA
rnacentral:tRNA from 1 species